UACGUAGGGUGCAAGCGUUGUCCGGAAUUAUUGGGCGUAAAGAGCUCGUAGGCGGUUUGUCGCGUCUGCUGUGAAAAUCCAGGGCUUAACCCUGGACCUGCAGUGGGUACGGGCAGACUAGAGUGCGGUAGGGGAGAUCGGAAUUCCUGGUGUAGCGGUGAGAUGCGCAGAUAUCAGGAGGAACACCGGUGGCGAAGGCGGAUCUCUGGGCCGUAACUGACGCUGAGGAGCGAAAGCAUGGGGAGCGAACAGG
rnacentral:rRNA from 1 species